GUUCUCGUAGUUGAAUAACAACGGUGGUUUUUCAAGUCAUAGGUCCUGGUUAGAGCCCGGGCGGGAAUU
rnacentral:tRNA from 1 species